rnacentral:rRNA from 1 species
AUUGAACGCUGGCGGCAUGCCUUACACAUGCAAGUCGAACGGCAGCACGGGAGCAAUCCUGGUGGCGAGUGGCGAACGGGUGAGUAAAGUAUCGGAACGUGCCCAGUCGUGGGGGAUAACGUAGCGAAAGUUACGCUAAUACCGCAUACGAUCUAUGGAUGAAAGCGGGGGAUCGCAAGACCUCGCGCGAUUGGAGCGGCCGAUAUCAGAUUAGGUAGUUGGUGGGGUAAAGGCUCGCCAAGCCGACGAUCUGUAGCUGGUCUGAGAGGACGACCAGCCACACUGGGACUGAGACACGGCCCAGACUCCUACGGGAGGCAGCAGUGGGGAAUUUUGGACAAUGGGGGAAAGCCUGAUCCAGCCAUGCCGCGUGCAGGAUGAAGGCCUUCGGGUUGUAAACUGCUUUUGUACGGAACGAAAAGGUUUGGGCUAAUAAGCUGAGCUCAUGACGGUACCGUAAGAAUAAGCACCGGCUAACUACGUGCCAGCAGCCGCAGUAA